rnacentral:rRNA from 1 species
UACAGAGGGUGCAAACGUUGCUCGGAAUCAUUGGGCGUAAAGCGCACGUAGGCGGCUUGGCAAGUCGGAUGUGAAAUCCCUCGGCUCAACCAAGGAAGUGCAUCCGAAACUGCUGAGCUUGAGUACUUAAGAGGAUCGCGGAAUUCCCGGUGUAGAGGUGAAAUUCGUAGAUAUCGGGAGGAACACCAGUGGCGAAGGCGGCGAUCUGGGAAGAUACUGACGCUGAGGUGCGAAAGCGUGGGGAGCAAACAGG